UACGGAGGGUGCAAGCGUUGUCCGGAAUCACUGGGCGUAAAGGGCGCGUAGGCGGCUCAUGAAGGCUGUGGUGAAAGUCCGGGGCUCAACCUCGGAUCGGCCGUGGCGACUCGUGGGCUGGAGCACUGUAGAGGCGGGUGGAAUUUCGGGUGUAGCGGUGGAAUGCGUAGAGAUCCGGAAGAACACCGGUGGCGAAGGCGGCCUGCUGGGCAGUGGCUGACGCUGAGGCGCGACAGCGCGGGGAGCAAACAGG
rnacentral:rRNA from 1 species